UUCUAGAUGUGUUUAGUGGUUAGAGCGUUCGCCCGAGAUGCAAGAGGUCGUGGGUUUGAUUCCCGGCCGAAUCGUAGUAAA